CUUAACAUGUUUUUACAGUGGUGCACAACAUCAGUGUAGUGCUCUAUAGCCAAUGAAUGAAAUUUUUUGCAAAGGCAUGUUUCGUUUGACAUUUCAUUCUAAGGCAGCAUAGGUAAAAAAGCCAAAGUAAUCAGAAAUAAAGGAGGGCACACAAAAUAUUACAAUGUUAACAUUUCAAAUAAUGGAAAUGUAGUCAAAUAGCUGUUUAACCAAGAUACUAAGGUUACCCACUGAAAAUUAACACAAGUUGGCAAGUUUAAGUUUGGUUUUCUUCAGGUUAAUGCAUUUUGUAUUGGUGGUCCGAAAAUUUUGCAAAGGACUGUAAAGGUCUUUUUGAGGGGUAUUAAAUUACAUCUUUUGGAAAAUGUACAGGAGUGUCUUUGUUGAGAGAAAUUUUGGUUUCAAAUCAUCUGGUACAAAUAUUUAGACUUAAAACUUUAAAUGAGAUCAACUCCCUUUUAUUUGCACUGAUAGCCAACUAAAUGUCCACAAAAUGUACACAGUCUGCCUAAUUAUCUCCAAAUUAUCGUUUUAUUAAUCUGCAACCAAUUUCAUGAAACGUGGUGUAACUUUGCACCAUGCAUAAGCUUUGUGCCACAAAUUUGUGUUGUACAUGUAGCUGUGUAGGUUUGAUGUUACGAAUAGUUGCUUAGCUGUCAAGUGUUUUCAUUAAAUUAAAUUUCUUGGAUGAGGACAAUAACAACUUUGAAGACGGCUUUUUCUUGGCAAGAUCACAGCAGUCAUCAAACAGUUGUUAGCUUACCUCCCACCAUGUUGAAGAAGUUUUUGUCAUUUCCCCAUCAGAACCAGACAGAAAAUCUUGUUCUCUCACAUCUAAACAAGUUUUUCAUUACUUUCUAAACAAGGUUGUAUGCGUCUCAUAUAAGCCUUCAGUUAAGCAGUUAUGAGUCUCAACUGAACACUGUAGGUUAGUCAAAUCGCUGAUUUUCACUCUGUACGAUGCAACUUACACAAGUUAAAAUGAUUGCAUAAGUUACGCCUCAAUUUGCAGCAUGACUUGUGUAGUGUUUAAAGUUUUGUGAAAUUGUUCUUAAUUUGUUGUGCAAUUAUACAAUAAAAUGUGGCAUCAGUAACAUUACGCCGUUGCAUAAAGUUUCGUGAAAUCGGCUGCAGAAGCUGCAAAUUUGUGUUUUAAAUGACCAAUGUCACUCUUAUAAGUUUGAAAAAUGACAUGUGGAGUUCCAUUUCAGUUUGUCUUUUGAAAAUAUGCCCUCUACAGUUUGAAAGUUCUUUUUCCACAGAAUUCAAAACACCAACUCUCAAUUUUUGAAAAUUAUGACUUUCAGUUCAUUUUGUGGUGACAGGUCACAGACAUGGCAUGCUGGUAGAUAGGAUGGUAUAUCAUGGAGAGGUCUGGAUUACAACACAUUGGUGUUAAUAAUUUUGAUAUCCAAACACAAGACCACAGUGAACAAGGUUCAAAGUGUGUACAUUUGCAAAUAGUGAUUACUUUUAAUGGCUCAAAGCAAACCUUCUUGAAUUUUCUCAACUCAGGUAUUCACAACAAAGACGAGCUCAUUUGACUUGAUAUUUACCCAUUAUUUGGUGUCCAAAAUGCCUUUUGGAGGCUCUAUUAGCGUUUUGUAUGUGUUUCUGAUCCUACCUACAUGUAUAUGUAGAAAAGAGCUUGUAAAAAUAGUGAAGUAUAGUGUUCUGUCUGUUUUUUAAUUAUUGUACUGAUAUUUUUUAAUGUAAAGACAGGUUACCCUUUGAUUUAACUGGUCAUGUGAUGUACUUCUAUUAGUAUUGUUGUGCAGUACAUUUGCCGUAACAUACAUUUAUAUGUGGACCUUGCUGUACUCAGAGGCAUGAGGACCCUUGUAAAUGCCUUGCGAUGUAAUAUACUUGUGGUGAUAUGAGGCUGUGGAUACAUGUAUAUGAUGAAUGUUACUCCUUUCUGUGUACCUUGAUGUACUUGUUCACGUGUCUUCACAUUGUUUGGGUACAUUCAACAGAACAGUUUUGGGAACAGUGAGUGAAACUUACAAGUUCAGGCUUUGACAAGCAAUUUUAGUUAUCUCUUGGUUAUGUUGUCAAAGUACAUGCGCAUUUAUCGUAACUUGAGAAACUGUACGUAUGUGAAUUAGUGAGACUGGAGACAUGCAUGUUCAUGUACAGCAUUAACAAAGGGCACUCUGUCUUGAAUGAAAAUUGGCAUGCUCCAGUAUAGCCACUUAAAGCUAUGAAAGCGAUCAUGUAAGCAUGAGCACAUUACAUUAGAACAGUGUCAAUAAGAAAGAAUUCCUCAUUUUGAGGCAAUACUCAGAUUCAUUUAAAAAAUCCUCAGAAACCAUUGUAACUCUGGAAAAUAUGAAUAAGGAAAGGAGUAAGGUUAGUUACACCGUGUGCAUGUACAUGCACGUGUAUAAAGGGCUGUAAUGUGUAUUUCUUAUGUGUCAGACAUUGGUUUUGUGUUUAAGUUCAUGUUAAUGGCUUUAAACAAUUCUGACAAAUUUGUCAUGAAAGUACAUGUUUUGUACAUAUGUACGAAAAGCCUGUGACACACCUGUGAAAUAGAUGUAUGUCCGCAUCCACACAGUUAAGGUUUGCUAAAAAACAUUUUUGGACUGAUACUCCCUAUGAACAAUUACAGCCAUCAGCUUCUUUAGACUUUAAAUCUUGUGGAUGGUGUUACUGCUUGCAGGACUACAUCCUGGAUGUAGAACAAUGAAAUGCACACAAAGUAAAGCAUACCAGUGUAUUAACCCAAUGAAUUCUGUGAACAGGGUGUCUGCUAUCUGAUGUUAAGACUUGAGAAGAUCUGGAUUAUGCUUAAUUACAUAUACAAAUGCAGUUAAGGGAAUGAAAUGGUGAAAUCCACUGUUAUUAACUGAGAAUCCAUGCACCUGGAAAAAUUUGUACACAAGGGAACAGUGAUCAAGUGUCAUAGAGUUUAUUUGUACACACCAGUUCUUGUGGAUGCUAUUGUAUGUACAAGCUUGAAAAGUUGUUGGCACAUGAUUGUACAUGUAUUCAAAUAUGAUCAUUGAUACUUGUGGACUGACUUCCCUUCUUUUUCGUAUAUUUUUAUUAGUAAUGAAAUGGAAAUUUGAAUAAAAAAGAAGCAAAACAAAGCUGAAAAAUUCUUAAAUGAUAAUAGAUGAGCUGCAAUCAUGUGACACCUCCAUUAAGGGUACGUAUGCAUGGAUUAUUAAUUUUGGGCUCAAAAAUGAGGCAGUAUUUUAAUAGAUUUUUUUUUAUAUACGUCAUGUAUCUAUCUUGGAAAGAGCAUUGUCACCGGUUGAUCACUCUGCAGUGUUUACAAGGUAAUAAAAUGUUAGCUUUGUACAUGUUUGAUCAAUGAGCCAUAAUUGUAGGAUUAUGAUCAUACACAUCUUUCUUCUCCUGAGAAACUUGAUAAAUCAGAUGUUUCUGGUUGUCAGACAAGUACAAAUUAGAUUUAAAGGUUUUGCGAUACUUCGUACAUGUAUAUAUAUACAUGUAUAUGUUUGAGGCCAUGAUGAAAUUAUUGUAGUAAACAGGUACAUGAUAAACCAUGCAAUUACAGGAUGCUCCAUUUUGAUGGCUACUGCUCCCACAAUUUUCUGAGCUGCAUUGUUAGCAUAACAGCUACAUGCGUUGAGGAUUGGACCCAGAGUUAAAUUCAUUACAUGCUGGCCUUGCUCUGGCCAAGAAGCUGUUGUGUUUUUUCUUGCAUUAUUGGGUUUAACUUUAUUGUAAUUUAUUUUAACUUAAAUGUUUUUGAAAAUAUACGAUGCCAACAGUUUGGCUACUGUCUACCAUUAGUUCUCGCAGCACAGGUCAUUCAAUGUCAAGUCAAAAAUCAGGCAGUUGACAUGCACUGGGAUAAAAGCAUUCAUAUGGAAAUGUUCGUGUUCUGUAACAGGGCUCUUGAUGGACUUGACUACAGUAGCAAAUGCCAAUCUUGUUAUACAGUUAGCGGAAUUAUACAAAAAUGAUGUUCAUGUAUGUUUGCCUAAAGAUAUUGUAGUGUUUGCUAAUCAAGCAUUACAUGCUGAAUAUCUUAUGUAUUUUGAGUAAGGUCUGGUAACCUUUUAAAGGCAGAACAAAGGAAUGUCUGCUACCAAAAUGUUACUAUUUUCUUUGUUGUAAUAGGUUGUGUUCAGUAUGCAAAUGAAUUGGUGUAUGUUGUAUAAUUCAUGUAUUUAGGGAUGUGAAUUAAAACAGCCUGUAUUGAUGGUAAGUUAUUUUUUUAAAAAUCAGAGCUUUUGUGAAAUGUAAAAUACAGGAGCCUAUGAAGUCCGAAACCUAUCAGGCUAUUUAUUCACUGAUGUAAACAUACUAUGACUUGAAAUAAAGUAGCUUUGUUAUUUAGAAUGGCACAUUAAAAUUACAUUUACUGUUACAUUUAUUCAUUGCAUUUGACAUCUCGCAAAUUAACCUUUGCAGAAAUAACUCACGCAAUUACUGAGUCGUGUUUCAAAGAGGGCCACAGCUCAAAUGCAUACUUGUAUAUUGUCAUAAUUGUGAUAAUUACAGGCAUGUACAUAUAGGAACCGGGGGUACAAAUAGCUCCCCCUCUUUCCCCCCCCCCCAAAAUAGUGGGGGGGCGAGCCCCCCCCCAAAAAAGUUGUGUAAUUGGCAUUCUCAGGGUGGGAGUAUUUGUAGCAGUGUGUGAUAAUUUUACUCAGAUCACAUUUAAAAAAUGGAAAUUUUAGAUUUUAUUUUUCUUCCCUCCACCCCCCAGUAGAAUCAUCUUCCUAUGUACCUGGUGAUAAAUGGUGCAGGCCAGCCUGGUGUGAAACCAACUCAGUCCCAAGUCAAUUUGUCUCUGUGGAAAAAUGUACAUAAACAGAUGCUGGGACCAGGAUGCACUGUGACAUGAUUAGCAUGACUUCCACCAUUGACAGACUGAAAAAGUAAGGAUAUAUCAACAGCAGUGUUGUAUUUGAAUCCAUCACGAGCGCCUGUAAUUCCAUCACAAGUUAUUAAAAUGAGUUGUGACAAAAGCAUUCUUUUGUCAUUGUUCAGCCUGUUACUUGGACUGGCCUUGCGAAAGGACUUGUGAAGGACUUAUGAAAGGACUUGUGACGGACUCAAAUGCAACACUGAUCGGCAGCCCUCUUCUCUUUGACGAAUGGAGCUUGAUAAAGGGUGCACUUUGGUUUGGAUGUACAGAAUCCAAAUGGUACUACUAUAGCAAUUGCUGAUGAGUGUUGAUUUUUUGUAGGUGAGUGUUAUGCAGUGCUACAAAAUCCAUAAAAUGUGUGGCUGUCAAACUUGAAGAUUUGUCUGGGAGGUUAUAUUGUUAAGAAGUUAAUUUUGCAUUCAUCUUCACCUCUGGCCUAACCGCCUUGCCUGGCAUGCUUUGGAUACGAUAUUACUAGGCAAGUAACAGUGGGUGAGGGAAGUAUCGGUGGUCAAGCCCAACACAAGAACCACACUGGACAGUUUAUAGUACUAUGGCAGAAUUACCAAAUCCCCCUCCCUCACAAUCACUGUUCCCCCAUUGGUCGCUCAGCAACUGUGGUAUUCCUUCAGGAAAAACCUACACCUAAUGCACAGGGCCAACCAGACAGUUCCCUCAUUAACCUCUGCACGGACAGCUAUGGCAAACCUCGGGCAGGACAUGAGCAACUUUGACCAGUAAUUUUGUAGCCUCUUUUAUCUACAAUUCAACCAUGCCAGGCAGAACUAAGUACUCUCAAGUGACUACAGAAUUUCAAUGGGAUAGCCUCCCUAUGCACCUCCUGGUUUUAGAUCUUCCUUUUUGUUGGUAGGCCCCAGGAUUCAAGUACUCUUCAUCAGGGUAAACAAACUGUUACGGAACAGAACUAAUCCCUAGCUUUCUCCCUGGUAUCCUAUCAUAGACCUACCACUGAUCUCCAUUAUAAAGACUGGAUGGGACAUGCAUGCAUGUUGGUGAAACUUUAAAACUUUGAAAUGUGGUCACACGCUGUGCAGGGGAAGUUAGUCUGGCUGAGGAAUCUGUUGUUCUAAUUUCUCUUUUUUGAUGAAAAAUGAAAGUAGGUAAAGAACCUAAGACCCAUAAACCAAGUAUGUAGCGUAGCAGGAGUUUUGAUUGGUAGAUUGUUGCAAUACAACUGGUUGUCCAAACAAAAUGUUAAUUUAAGCCCAUUUUUUAAUAAUUGGUUUCCAGUCGAAUAUCAUAACUUAAGUCUUUAUAUAAGUAGGAUCUUUUUAUUGCAAACUAUUCAGUUUAUUGAUAAACUUUUUAUUUCAUUGAAUUAACUUGUGUUAAUUAUUUUUAUGUGCAGAAUUCUAAGACAUGAAUACUUGAGAACUAAAUGAUGGGUACAACCUCGGCAAAGACAAAUGAUUAGUGUAAGCCACGAUGCCAUAGUUGUUCAGAACAUUUGUGUGUCCAGAAGGUUGGAGUAUAUUGCAAAUAUUUAUUUAUUUGCUGUCUUAUUUAUACAGGGUGGUCUCAUCAGUUAUAAAACUGCUUUCUAUGAAGGCCCCGUUUCAAUUCACACGAAUUCAAAUCAUGUAAAGAGUUAUUAAAAGCUUAAAUUGAAAGUAUCAAAGCAGGGAUACAGCCAAGUCUGUAAAACUAAAUGUGCAAAAUAAUAGGUCAUCAUAGAAGCGGAAACAAAUCCAAUGAAAAUUCCCAAAUAAGAGUUGUGAUCAGAAAAGUAACAUUUCAAAAACCAAUUUAUUAAUCAGAAACUCGCCAGAGUCACUCAGAAAGAAGUGUAAAACCUCAUCAAAUGGAAGUGAAAUACAUCUAUAUACAAGUACAUGUAUUUGAUAUUGAAGCAUAACAAAGACUUAAAGUAAGCGAUGGGGAAAUAAAACAAGAUGUUAUAAAAGGUAAAACGUGAAAGACUUCUUAGCGAACUGCCGCUAAGAAUGGUUAAAAUUAAAACUUGGAAAAGCAAGUGGUAUUAAAAUUGUAUUGAAGCAUAAAAUAUACAGCAAAACUGGAAAGGGUAAGUACAUUAUUAGAAUUGGCAGGUUAGUAAAAUAGGGUCUGUUAUAUCGGUCAAUCUGUUAUUUAAAUUUGUUUAAUACUAUAGUUAUUCUUGCCCAUUCUUUAAAACCAACUUCACACAGAAUUUGUUCAUGAGUAAUUGUCCAUUGUUUACAAUUGUUUAUACGUAUACAUGAUGUCCUCAAUUUUGCUCGCACUUGGGACUUUUGCGUUGUUUGGUAUAUUAUGUCCGUGCUAUUUUACAUGUAAGUUUUUAAGUUAAAUGGUAUUCGCUCUGUUUUUAUUCUCUUAAGAAUCAGCUAUUGUACCAGUAUAUUGUCAGCUCUGGAAAUAUGCAUUUUCUUAAACAUUAAUUAGUCGGCGGAGAACAAAAUGAAAUAAUUAGAUUUUCUCUAAUAUAUCAAAUAAAAGGAGUCUUAUUUUGUAGAGCUGCAGUCUUUAAUGAAAUGUGUGGAAUGAAGAGAAGAAAACCUUCAUACCCAGUACAAUGUGCCUUUUGUAUUACAUGUCAGGAUGUUACCAAAUGAAUUGUUGGCUUUUUCGCAUUUUGCAAAAAAUGCACUCUUUUUGGCAAGAUUUCUAGCCGUUUCGGUUUCCGGCCAAACAGCCUUAGCGAAAAAGGCAUUCUUUUUGUUGGCUUUUAUGCAGUUCUGCAAAAAAGGUAUUCUAAAGGUAUUCUUGUCUCGAUAUUUUUUGGCUUUUCCGCAACUUGCAAACAAGCAUUUUAUUUUUGUUCAGAUUGUUUUUUUUUUUUUUGCUUUUUCUCAAGUUGCAAAAAAGGCAUUCAUGUUGGUUUUUAAUUCUUCUUCCACGCCAAAUCCCCUUUGUUUUGUACACGUUUCUUCCACCAUCAACUUUAAUCCCCUAGCAACUGUGGAUAUUCCUCAAACUUUUUCCAAUGAAGGACCCUUGAACAAGGAAUUCUCUAACGCAAUGGUGUUGUGUUGACGUCUUAAACGAGUUGAUUUUUUGUAUUUAUUUAAGCCCAUUGACUUUGUACAUGUUUUCAAGGCAACAUUUUGAUAAUGUAGAGAUCUUCAAUCGUCCUGAAAGUUACAGCCAGCAAAGACCAUAAAGCAAAGAUAAUACUAAAACAAUUAUGUCAUGAUAAUUUUGAAUAUUUAAAAGUUACGUCAAUGUUGGAAAAAUCUAUAUAAAAUGGACCGUUUCCUCCCGUUAAAUUCAGUUUGCAGCAAAUGGCAGCCUUUCAGUAGAUCACCCAACAUUCUUGUCAUAACCUGGAUAUUGUUUUCUUAAGGAGAUCAACCAUUUACCUUCUUCCUCCAAUGUGUGGAAAAGCUGGACCUACCGGGUUACCUGCACUCCUGGAAAUUCCAGAGGAUCAGGUGUGUCUAUUCUCACGAAACCUAAUUAUUCAGUCCAGAAUCAUGAUGUUAUUCUUGAAAGUUAUUUACUUUAUGUUCAAGUUAUUCAUGAUUGUAAUACCUAUCAUGUAUAUGAUGUAUACGUUUCAUAGGGUGAUAAUGAUGCUCAACGACUCUUUGAAGCUCUAGAAUUGUUUCAUUAUGGGCUGUCCCACAUGGAAAGACGAUCGGGAGACUAAUCAGAAACCCUCAGGAAGACAUGAACUAGCUCACUUGUGCAGGUGAGAGGUCAACAUAUAAUGUAUGCACAUACUGCUUUCAACACAUCCUCCCCUUUUUGAAGAGUUUGGGGCAUCAUAAAUUAUAUCACUGAAGUGAGCUUUAAACAAACUCUGAAAGAUUGUAAACAGUUAAAUGUUGAAUAUCGACUUCAACACUUCUCAACGUUUGGAUACAAAGUAUUUAAACAUCUCAACUUUUGAAUGUCAACAAUUAAGAAAUUGUAAUGUGAACACUGAGUUUUGUUUUGAGGAUGUGGACUGGAUGGGACAAUGGUGAUUAGUAUUUGAUGUAUUCAAUUCUUGUUGGUGGUUUGAUCACUCUUCCUGAUCUAGUGUGUCAUUCUUGCAGGAUUGGGCUGUUUGGGCUGUUUGUGUGUAGCUUUUUUAUUUGUAGUGCUCCGUUGCUCUUCUGUUUUUCCGUUUGCCUUUCUGACGUUUGCUCGUACGUGUGGGUGUGACAGCUGUUCUCGGGUAGACUAAAGUGAUGUUGGGUUUGUGCAUUUUUCCUAGGUAGACCUUCCUUCUGGGAUCACUUGGGGUGGUUCUGAUUUCUUGAGGUCGAUUCGGUUUCGUCGAAGUAGAAGGCUGUUUUCUGUUUCGACUUCAUAUGAUCUCUGAUCCAGUCGUUUCUUGCCUUUUGCCAUUUCGUUUCUCCUUGUCUGUAUGGUUUGAGUCUCGCAACAUUGCCUUCUUCGAGUUCUGGGAGAUCUUUGGCAUGCUUAUUGUGCUUAUUGCGCUCUUUCUUUUUGCAGAAAUUCUGAUCCUCUUUGCUUCAACAGGUUGCUGAUUGUUGGUAGAGUCGUUCAUGUUCUUCUGCCAUGUAGCCGUUGUGCAUGGCUGGAGCUGAUCCCUUGGGAGGGAGUGUUUUCUCGUGUCCAGUAAGGUAAAGUAGACAUCUGUCUUUGAGUGGGAUGACUUCUUUAUCAGUCACGUUGCUGCCUUCACAGCUGACUCUGCCUUUCUAUUGGCUUGGUAUGUCUUGGGGAGCAGGUGUAGUGAUCGAAUCCCCAUUUUUUAGAGAAGUUUGCAAACUCUGGCGAACUGUAUAGUGGUUCGUUAUCACUCACAACAGUGUUUGGGAUCCCAUAUCUGGCAAAGUGGCUUUUCAGUUUGGUUCUGAUGGUCUUGCUGUUGAGGUCAUAUAGACGGUCUACUUCGGUUGUCUCUGAAGUUGAAGAAGGGGUGUGUUGUUUCUGGGACGUCAGAUUUGUGUUCUGGCCAACUUUCUGGAUGAUUAUCUUGACCAUUGCAGCACUUCAUCUUCCCUGGUAGGCCUCUGGAGGCAUCAGAUUCUGUCCUCAUUCAUGCUGAGGGAGUCAAUACGAGGUUGACUUCUCCAAAUUCCGAUGAUCCGGUGAUGUUUGGAAGAUAUGCCCUGGAUAGCAUAUCCACCAAAUACAUGUCUCGUCCCUUUACCCAUUUGAUAUCCACAUCAUAGUGCAACAUUCUCAUCAACAUGCCUUUAGGGCAUCUUGGUGCUCGGUGGAGGGGUUUCUUGACUAUGGCCUCCAAUGGUUUAUGGUCAGUCCGUUCUAUGACUCUGUCCAAAGGUGGAUUGAUGGAAGCGUUCUAAUGCAAAGACUACUGCUAAGGCUUCGUUUUCAAUUUGGGCAUACUGCUGUUCCGUAGGUGCAGGGUUCGACUGGCAUAUGACAGUGGUUGACCUUCCUCUCGUCUCUCCUUCACUCUCGUCGAGUGUCGCUCCUAGACCUGCUUUGCUGGCAUCACACUGUAUGGUGAGAGGCUUAUCAGGGCCACCAUAGUAUGCACCAUAAUGGGUCCCAUAUGCAGCCGGGCCGCGCGCCCGAUCAACGUGAUAAAGGCUUUAUCAAAGGCCGCAGAGCUACGUAUCGUGCGAAGCCAAAGAUAGAGAUUGAUUCGUCAAAGUAUACAUGUACAUCAGUACCAUAGUCAGCCAAACUGGAGUCCUGCGCAGAAAUUAGUUGAGAUAAAUUUGACAAAACACAUGGAGCAGCCUACUACAAGUGAACUCAGUGCAGAUGCUUCUGAGAGUGGAAGCCAUAUCCAACCUUCAUGGACAUGUACUCUUGGAAAAUAUUCCAAUGAGCUAAUUUUCAGUGACAGCAAGUCAGGACUCCAAACUGAUUCAUAUCAACCAUUUUGUGAGAGAAUGAUUCAGCACACUCAAGAAUUGAGGUCUAUCUCCCAGAAUUGUAUAUCCCCAGCGCCCAUGGAACAGAAUGCUGUGACAAGACGUGCUGAUAGUGAUCUUCAGAGAAUGAGAAAUGUAGAAGUCCACCAACAUAGUGAAGUUUGUGUUCCUACAAGUGUUGUUCCAAUUCUACCAGUUGAACCAACUUUGUCAUUACCAGAAGUCUCCAUUAACUAUCAAGACUCAACAAUCAGUUCUCAUGCUAAAUCAUGUGACUUCAGUACCCUAAGGAAAUCACGACUUAAGUGUAGCAAAAGAAAUAAUGGAAGGAACUUGAAAUCAAGGGAGCAGUUUCAUGGCAAGAGGAGCCAGCAUUUCACUGAGGAAGACAGGUGCAGCACAGACCCGCGUCUAGAUGGCUUGAAAGUGAAGGCUACUCUGAACCGCAGCUAGUGAUGGUCGGAGAAGCAUAUGGCUCCCCUCAUUGCUUGGGUGUUACUUGCCCCCAAGCAAGCAAUUUAUUAGUGAGGAAAAAAUGGCUGCCAGGAUGAGCCACCUGAGUAUCACAAAUGAAAACACUAUGGCUUCCCUACAAGAAAGAUGGUUGCAAGCCAAGUUAAAAACUAAGAGACAACUGGAAGAAAUUGAAAGAAGAUUGUCAGAUUCUGAGUCGGAUAAUGAUGAUGAUUCUAACAGUGAUACAAGAGAUGGCAAGCCUCGUCAGAUUCAAGUCAGUCCAGAACUCAAGAUGGCCAUGGAAAAACAAGAACCACUCUUACCGGACUCUGUUGUCAAGUCUAUAGCUAAUGUCUGCACUGAACUUGUCUUAUGGAAACCACCCUCGUCAUAUAUUAGUGGUACCUUCAACCUAUCACCCAAUCUGGACUUGGUUUCCACGGAUAAAUCUGAUGUGCCUUCUAGUAACAAUAUGAAACCGUCUGGCAGUGAAGCGUCUGGUCUACCCUCAGCAAGUAUUCCAAAGAAACAAUCAGACGACACUUCUCAUAAAUGCAGUUUUACAGACAUAGUUUAUGGGGAAAUUUCUCCAAGUUGGACAAGUGUACCUGAUGAGUUCUUUGAUGGUGUGGAUGAUAACAUGGAAUUUUAGGACUUGCAAAGUGCAAUGAGUGGGUCCAUUUGCUGGCUUAUAUCAGGACAAGUAUUGUACAUUCAUCACAAAAAGAGACCGUGUCUCCUGUAUGAACUUUGUGAUAGGAGAUGAGGGAGCCUUUGAAUUGACCUCAACCAGUGGUGUUGGGCAGUAUGUUAGCUUAGUCAAAACCACUCUAGUCAAAGAAGCCUGGAGGAGGUUGUAGUGUGUCUGUCUGUCCAUCUGGAUGUUUCUUAAUUAGUAAUAUUUUUGGAAUGACAUAUUGUUCCCAACCUCACUAAGGCACAGCUAUUGUCGUUGAAAUAUUCUUUUUUGCAACCAUGUUUUCAUUUUGUGCGCCACUUUGAGGGUUUGGCCAGUUCAGAUUGUCAACAUUAUGACAUUGUCAUGGUUGAUUUUGGAGCAAUGUUUAUGGUACCUGUAACCAAACUCAAUCUUCAUUUCAAUGUCAUGAAUAUUUAAUUGCAUACAUAUAGCACUGAGUGUAUUCGUAUUUUGGCGACACAAGGGUUUCGGUCUUUUCCAUCGUUGAAUCGUGCUCGAGAGACAUCCCUCUGAAAACAAGCUACAUGUAGCUUUCUCACCUGCAAAUAUUAUAUUUGGGUAGUUGAUAGCGAAGCCAGCUUUGUAUCACACUUAUCUUUAUUGCAUCAGUGUACAGGUGUUUUUGUUAUGUAAGUUGUUUAUAGUAUUCCUUGGUCUUAAGAGGAGAUCAUUGUCGAGUCAUAGAAUAAACCAUGAUGAUCCAAGCUCAUACAUGUCAUCUCCAGUUUAUCCCUUACUGUAGAGUACACACUCUGAAACCAGUGGAGGCUCAGGCCCCUGUCCCCCUUGGGUUCACUGCUACCUGGUGUUUCCCCACGUUAGUAUGAUUCUUUGCAACAAAACAAAACAAGGUAGUUUUGAAAUUCUUUUCGCAGUACCUUUUAUUAUCUAAGUACAUGUAGAUGUAUGGGUACAGGCUGUUUGGAACAUUUAGUGAUGUCAUGAUGAUGCCAUCAAGUGUGUGUAUAUGCCUUCCUCAUAAUAUGUCUGAAGUAUCAUCGUGGUGACAUUUUCUUUAAAUUAAUUUUUCAUGGACAUUUUGCUGGGGUUUUCUUAGUGCUUCUAAUCACAUUUUUUUGGGCACUAUUCCAAGUCAAAUCAACUUGAAACGUCUAAGAUAUAAAGUCACAGGUGAAGACAGGUGUUCCUGACAAGAAUGGUAUGAUGAUGUCAUCAGGUAUCACAUGGUUCUUCCCUAAAGAUGCAUAUUUAUAUGUGUUAUUAAGAAAGGUCUUAAACUUUGAGUGAGUGAAAAACAAUAGCUUUAAAUAAUAAAGCUCAAACAGUGAGCCCAUCUGAGGCAAAGUGUUGGACAAUGCUCUCGGUGUAAAUCUACUGCAUGUUGCAUUAAGUUAUGCAGGGAUGAGUCAAAGAAAAAUUGGUUUUGUUUCAUGAUUUAACUUCCAGUGCGAUCACCCAAAAUGUGAAACAUAAAAGAAAAUGAAUACUAAUUGAACAAAAUGAGAUGAUCAAACAUUAUUUGGACACCAUUGAACUCUGUUUUAGACACUUACACAGAUGAUGAGCGCAAUCCAGACUAGGCAUGACGGGUGCACUUUUACAUUAACUGGUAACACCAGUCACUAUGAAGCAGCUGCUCAGAAAUAAUUUCUGAACAGAAUGGCUCUGUCCAUACGAAACAAGUUUAAACAACCUCCAUUAAAUAAUGCCUCCACUUAGAUAUCUUCACUCUGAUUGAUUAAAAAAAACAAUCCUCAUUUUUGGGGGGGGGGAUGGCCGCCUUUGCCCCCCCAUCUGCCCUUGUCUCUGAUGGGUAUUACAUGAUGCACUCAAGUCAAGAGGGAAACCGUUCAUCUUGAAAUUCUCCCAAUAGUGAAUUCUGGGAUGAUGACAUCAUUGUUGAACUUCAGAAACUGGUUCCUGUCCAUGGAAGCAUGGCACGAUUUAUGUGAUGACAUCUUCAACCCUUGUAUAGUGAUGGCAUGUUACUCAAAAUUAUAAUUUGGUCGGCAGUACAAACAUUCUUCCACUUUUAAGUGAUAUAGUCGCAUAUCACCACACUUCCAGUACCCCAGGAAGUAAAGAGCAUGCUUCUGUGUGUCUCGAAAUGACAAAUUUUGCUCAAAGUUAGAUCUACGUUCCAGAUUACAAUAUAUGAAUGUGUCAUUGCCUGCAAUCCAAAAGUUGUAUAUUUCUUUCCAGUUGCACUAUAAAUUGCUCGUAAUUUGCUCUAUGAUGACAUCAUAAUGACAUCACAAAUUAUGCACAUUCAAGUACAAAGAUUUAUGUGCAUUCUAGGUUUCACGUUUAUCCCACAAACGAUGAUUAGGAAUGUGUUGGCUGGUGUUCAAAUCGAUGCAAUUUUUUGCAAUAAAAUUUUAACUGUGACCUUGCAUUAACCUUUUUUACUCUUACCCAAAACAAGUUUUUUCUAUAACAUCUCUGCCUAUACACUUAUUUUCUAUUAAGCGUGAUCAGACAUGUAGUGGAGUAGAUAUUGGUAUGUGAGGAGUGUACUAUUUGGUUGUGUCAUGAAACAUAAAUGUAGCAACAUGAUGAUGUUUUGCUUAUAACCCAUCCCUUUAA
rnacentral:misc_RNA from 1 species